rnacentral:RNase_P_RNA from 16 species
GGAGUCGGACGGAUCGUCGCCGCGGGGGCAACUCCGGGGAGGAAAGUCCGGGCUCCAAAGGGCAGAACGCUGGAUAACAUCCAGGGAGGGCAACCUCCGGACAGCGCCACAGAAAGCAAACCGCCCGGCCUCGGCCGGGUAAGGGUGAAACGGUGGUGUAAGAGACCACCAGAUGCCGUGGUGACACGGCAUGCUCGGCAUACCCCGUUCGGAGCAAGACCAAAUAGGGAAGGCGGCCGGCCCGGCCGAAGCCUUCCGGGUAGGUUGCUUGAGGGUGUGGGCAACCGCACUCCUAGAGGAAUGACGGUCACACGCGGGCAACCGUGUGGACAGAACCCGGCUUACAGUCCGACUCCCGCA